rnacentral:rRNA from 1 species
CAGCCGCCGCGGGAAUACGUAGGUGGCGAGCGUUGUCCGGAAUCAUUGGGCGUAAAGGGAGCGCAGGCGGGCAUGUAAGUCUUUCUUAAAAGUGCGGGGCUCAACCCCGUGAUGGGAAAGAAACUACAUGUCUUGAGUACAGGAGAGGAAAGCGGAAUUCCCAGUGUAGCGGUGAAAUGCGUAGAUAUUGGGAGGAACACCAGUGGCGAAGGCGGCUUUCUGGACUGCAACUGACGCUGAGGCUCGAAAGCCAGGGGAGCGAACGGGAUUAGAUACCCCCGUAGUCCCUGUCUCUUAUACA